AGGGUGGAGGCGAGUCUUCUAGCGGUGGAUUCGGUUGAGCACAGUGCGGCGUGACACCUGAGUUCAGGCCUGAGUCGUCUGCCCUCGUGUCUGUAAACCCAUACGACUAGACGAGGAUGAGAUACCGGAGCUGUGCAUCUGUUGAAGGUGUGCAACUUCGCGAGGAAGGAAGAGGAACUUGACGUGGUUACAGAAGUGGAAGAAAAAGAAAAAAAAAAAAAAAGGAAAAAGGAAAAAGGAUAGAAAAAGCCAAAUCAAAGAAUAAGAAGAAGAAGAAGAAGAAGCAAAAGCACCGUCGUUCUCACGGCUGAUAUUCAGCCGGUGGUGGCAGGAGUUGUUUAUCUAGGAUCUUGCCACUGUAAUUGCCAUCUCCGUGGAGUCUAGCGACCAUAGAAAGAGCAAAGCGUCCCUUCUGCCCAGCUCCGGCUCUAUUCCUCCUGCAGUCAUUAAGUUCUGCCGGAGAUGUUGCGGCCGCGUGGCAACUAUGGUGGUGGUUUUCAACCAUAACCAACGGUGAACACCAUGGUUUUACCCAUUUUUUCAUCGUCGGACACCAGAACAACAUCCGACGAGAGAUUCCCUAUUCGUCAUAGAGGUAUUAUGAGUGAAAGCCGUGAAACAGGAAAAACGACGCUGGGUAUCUUAUAGAAAGUUCCAGGUCGUUUUGGAUCAUCGGAUAUCAAGGCACGUAGUGACUGAAAGGUGCGCCUAAGGAUGACGAAGAACGACAGGAAAAAAUAUACACAGAUCCGGAUCGCCUCUAUAUCUCAGACGCAACGAAUAUCGUCGCACGCUCGCGAUUCUACGCGUACUGAAACUGAAGAACUGAAGUAACGAACUCCUCUCAAUACUUCGUAAAGAACGUCACCGCCGCUUCUUCUUCCUCCACCGCCACAGCCGUUGCUGCUGCGUCGUCGCAUAGGCAGUGAACCGAUCGCUAUAAAACGUAUAAAACAGAGGAGGGAACCUAGAGGUAGCCGUCACGACGCCUAGCGCCGCGGCACCUGCGGACUACGACGCUAUACCUGAUACCAAUUCCUACCUAAUCAUGACUGUAGCAAACGCUUGCGUCAGGAGGAGACAUACUUUUGUGCGGACAGACAAUAAAUAACACAUCAAUAAACAUUGCACGUCACAUUUUUGUGCAUGGAAUAUAAUUGUGCUAUAGCGGUAUAAAACGAUGUACAGAAAAACUGCAGCAUGUACUUGGAAUAAAUUUGUCACCGUCAGCUGGCUAUAGUUCGUUUCAGUAUGAGGGUCUCGGAGGGUACCACAUAACUCUUCAAUCUAGACGGUCCCAAUUUUUACAUACGGCGAAUGGACGUGCAAGAAAAUCUAAUUGUAAGUAAAAGAAAAGAAGGACCGAAAUCAGGCGCAAGUUACAAGAAGUAUAAGCGGCAGGGGCACCGUUCGGUUGGGCCCUCUUACGGACCUCCCGUUGCCCAGGGGCCCAUGGAAGCGAUUCAAUAUGGCAGGUGCGCCCCUCCCUCUUUUUCCUCUUUCUCUCCCUCUUUGCCCCGGACUCCACAUUUCACCUCCUUCGCACUGACCGCCGCGCUGCGAAGUUGCAGCGCACCUUAUUAUAACAACUAAGAAGAGAAAGAAGAAGAAGAAGAAGAAGAAUGAGAAUGAGAAUGAGAAUGAGAAGUAUAGUUUGAGAAAAAAAAAGAAUUGAAGAAUAAUUUGUAAUCCUUUAUCAAAAAAAUCUACUAUAGCUAACAAGAAAAGGAAUGUAGCAUUUCUUUUGUAUCAGGUAAAAUUUUCAAUGGGAUUCAAAUAACGGCAGUCAAUUUAUGUUAUAAACUUCAGGUUGCAAUGAAGAAUGUCUAAUCCCAUAAGAAUGAGCGAAACAAAAGGAAAUAUAUCCAGUUAUUCCUGCAGUGCGGAGUCAUGAGCAACAAAACUCAGUCGCCUGGAUUGAUCAUGACUGAAUUUUAGAUCCUCAUUCGUUUCCUCCUUGAUGCAUAUGGACUGCAGAUAUAAGAAUCAGAGUUUGACGUUGAAGCAAGAAAAAACUAUUGCGAAGAAUCACGGUAUCAUUAUCACGGGCAACGAGUAGAGCGUGGCAGAGCUAACAGUCAAGCAAAACUUGCUCGAGCUGUUGAACACCGAGUGUAUACUCGCCACAGCAACAUAACUGGACACCGGAUUUCAUGGUAGUGGGGAGGAGGUCUCUACUGAAUAAGAGAAAGAGACCAACGACGACUGCAUAUAGUGUUAGUACUAUUUCUUACAUCUCCAUGUUAUGGGGAACUAUCUUAGACAAUCAAGAUCAUGACAACGACGACGACGAUGAUGAUGAUUACGAGUUUAAAACAGGAGACGGAAAGUAGGCGUAGGUGGAAACAACAUAUACGUGGUCUCGUGCAGAGUAACGCGGGAUGUGGAAUGAUGAUCGUAAUAUCAGCUAUAAUAAUCGUUAUUAGUAUUACGUAAAAAAAACCUCAUGCAAAUCUCUUCGAAGUUGAAUACACCUAAUGAAGCAAAAUAUUCACAGAACUCGUUAAAAACUGGCUAGACGUAUACGUACUCACAUAUGCGUACAUGAAUAUUGCCCAAUUGUUAUGAAAUUGGUAAAAAUCUACGCGAAGAUGGCAUUGUUAUUACAAUGAAGAAUGGAAAUUACGUAGGCUAGGAUAGGAGCAAAAUAAAACUAUAAUUAUUAAUGCGAUGAAAAAGAAAUAACAAUGAUUUGAUCUUAUAACCAGGUCUGAUUGUAGAAAACUAGAUCCCAUAUACCUAUCAGCAGAAGAGUGAACCUAUAAAGAGCUCCAAGUAAAGGAGGAUUGAAAAAAAAACGUUUCGAUUAGGAGAAAGAAUGUGUGCAGCAUGCUGUUGCAAGUUACCUCACAUCAAGCAGGUUGUCACUGAUCAUGAUCGUGUCACUCGAAGAUCACAAGCUUUUCUUCCUUUUUACGCUAUAUUUUUUGCUUCUUGUCUGAUUUCUUCUUUUUACUUUUUAUAUCGUAGAAACCGUUACACUAUAUAAAGGAAGUUGAAACGCUUUCAGUUAUGGGGAAUGAAACGGUUUUUGAGUUAGUUUGAGUUACAUUCCGAAUCGAGCAGUAGACGUUAAAUUAUGUAAAUUGCUGUGCAUCUGAGAUGAUAGUACUGCGACAAAAAAAAAAAUUACCAAACAAAAAUUGAUAUGACGUCCGUAUAAAAAUUUUGAACUUACUGACGAUGAGACUAAUAAUUCGGUUGUUUUAGUGUAUAUGCACGAUGUGAACUUUUUCACUGUAAUGUAUAUAGGUUUAUGUAUAUUACCUACUUCGAGGAAGCUUGUUAUACCGGAAUUAUGAAUUAAAAAAGCAAAGAAUGAAAAAAAGGAAAAAGAAAACGAAAAAAAUUACCACGAGAUAUCUAAGUUGAUCUUUUUAGUUUCGAUUUACGUCAUUAUCGGGGUCGUAUCUCAUUAUAAAUCCUUAAUAUGUACUAUACACUCAUUAUAUCUGAGUUUUACUAUAAAGUGUGCGUAUGAAUAUAAAGCACAUGAACGGUGCAAUUAAAUGUGUUAACCUAACGUGAUCUUUUCGGACAAAAAGUAACGCCGUAUGUAAGAAAUUGUUUUUGUAACCGGUCCUCCUUGGAUGAUCGGCGUCAUAUACAUAGCUGCGUCGUAAUAUAUGACAUACUACACGCUACUUUACAUAGGUAUACAUGUGCUCAAUACAUAGGUAUGAAUAUUAUCAACAUAAAUGUAGGUACAUAUGUUACAUAUGUAUAGGUACAGGGUAUUAUAAUUACUCGAUAAUUAUUUUGGAUCUUGCAGACCGUGCUAAGGCGAUUUUUUUUUUACCAAAUACAAUUACGCUU